rnacentral:SRP_RNA from 1 species
GGUGUUCUUGCAAUGGAUGUUUUAUGAACCCGGUCAGAUCUGGAAGGAAGCAGCCGUAAUGAAAUAUGCAUGUGCAUUGAGCCAAUGA